GGGUUUAGAUGCUGCAGACACAUGAUUCAGCCUGUGGGUCACCAGGUACCUGAGACCUAAUGCCCUUACUCCUCAGGAGUGAUCCGAGCCAUGAAGUGGAAGCUCAGGAUUGACCUUGAGUUUAAACAGAUUGGAUGUAACCCACGGCCUUGAUUUAAAAUAAAGUCAACCAGAAGAGAAAACAGCCACUUGUGAGGAAAAUGAUGCUAAGCAAUACCUAAGUGCAGAGUGGACUGUAAAAAAAGACUUUGGCAAACUGAAGAAAAUGUGGAAGACAGGAAAGUGCCUGCUUAUAGAGAUGGACAAGAGUUUGGAGGGCUCGCACUGUGGAAAAUAUUUCCUUGACAUGUCUUUCAUGUACCUGAAUUCAGAAAGUCCGAAUUUAAAAAGAAGAGCCCUUUAACUCACAGAAGUCCAGAAAAGGAGCAUUAAGCCACCUCCAGACUUUGUGGGGGGACAGGUGCCAUAGCAAUUGUAAUGGGCAGCUGAUAUUGGGCUUUUUUGGUUUCACUCCUUUUCGGAAAUAUAAGGCUCAUCGGGUGCUCAUAAAAGGGUGACCCUGGGUGAAACUGAAGAAAAUGGUACUUGUUUUCAAAUUGAAAUGGAGCAGUGUGACAAAGCACCUCAAGAAACCCAUACCCCAGCACACAUAAAGGGAACCGUGGAUCUGGACAGCAUUUUCUGUCAAGCUGUGAAGGCCUGUAUGGGAUCUAUCACUGCAGGAUGAUGAGAGAACUGUGACGUGACGUGUCCUUCUUGCAGACAACCUCUGCUGUUGUGCCACUCUCAAAUAACCUCCUAUCCAUUGACUUGUUUGUAGAUGCAUUUAAAAGGAAGAUACCAAGCCAUAGGAAAAGAAAUCUUUAAUAAGAAUGUUUUUCCGAUCAUCUGUGCGGAUUCCAUAGCAAGAUCAGGACCUAACACAAGCAAGGCACUCUGACGUCUGAAAAGCCCACUGAUGAAGAUAACCAUGUGAAAAAGAUUUCUGGAAAUAUAAUCUUCAAAGAGAGAUGGCAGGAAAAGAUUGGAGCUGUUAGCAGAAGAAAAAGAUAAGAAAGAAGAGACAUAGCAGAAAAGAGGUAAGAAAGCAGGAAAACAGGUAAAAGCAGACUGGUACUGGACAACCAAUAAAAGGUUCUAGACUAAAAGCAGCAGAAAAAAAGACUGCAUGUAGGAGGGAAGAUAGCUGAAUUUUGGAUAUGAACCUUAACGGAAGUUAUGUUGCACAGUAUUUCAGAGGUGUGGGCAAAGAGCUUUCAUUUGGGACACUGAAGAACAGGAAAUUGGGAAAGGGUUUCACAAACUGAGAGAGUUUGGCUAGAAUAAUACAGUUGUUAACUGACUGAAGAUUUUAAAGUGUCAUUUUGGGGAGGAAAGGCAUAUAGGAGAAUGUUACAAUAAUUAAGACAAGUGAUAACCCUAAGAUGAUAUUUUUCUUCAUAGGCUAAGAAUGGAAGAAAGCUGUAUUCAUUGAUUUGUAAUUUUCCUUGUAAUUUUUAUACUUGAGAUAGCAUGGAUCUUCUUGUCAUCUUCCAAACCUUGACAAAUGGCUUUAGUUUUGGAAUAGCACUGCUGUAAUUGUUCUAGUGAGCUCAGAGAAAGUCUAAUUACAAACAAAAGAUCCUCCUGAGUUUUAUUCUUAUUUUGCACACUCUGUUCAGCAGCUUUUUAGAGCUAAACUCUUUGUAUGUAUAUCUAUGUUUGUGUGUAUGUAGAAUUAACUGCAAGUUAAUGCUGUGUGUGUACAUAUAUGGCUGCUCAGUGAUAGUUUUGGAAGUGCACCUGUUCUUUGCUUAAAUCAGGAAAAAAGUACAUUAAAAAUGUGUUUUGUAAAGUA